CACGUCUGGGAGCGUCCCUGAGAGGCUCUCACUCGUCUUGUUGGUAAACAACUCCUCAACACCUACACUUUCAGUAACCAUUCUAGACUGAACUCCAUCGAUUGCCGGUGCUUGAGAGACCUUUGAGUGUCAGUUGCAUAUUGUUCUUCACAGAUCGGUGCCGAUAAAAAUUAUGGAUAUUAGUGGGUCACUAGAGAUGUUUUUCCAGACCAACCUUCGUUUUACAACGGACAAAACUAAACUGGUUUUACUGGAUGACCUCCUUCAGAAGUACGCCAUGUUUUGCUCUAAUCACCAGUUACAUCAAGCAAGCAAUAAGAGCAUGUUAUUGUUGCUUCGUUGUUUGGGAGUGGAACUGCACAGGAAAGAUCAGACGAAGGCCUGCACUGGGCUAGCUUGGGUUAAGGGGAAUGCAGAUUCUAACCACCUCUUGAACCCUGAACCGAUUCCCAAUUUCUCAAAACAGACGCCUAGGAUCACCAAAAUGAAGAUACAAUUCACCGAAAACAAGCUGAAUAUCCGAAAACAUAAUACAAGGACUCCAGAACAAAUGCUGCAAGAUACAAUUGAUGAGUGCAAGAGGAACCAACUACGGGUGGUCCUUGGCCGGGGCCAGAAAAUGUCCAACAAGUACAUAUUAUGUCCAUUCAAAAGCGAGGAAGAGGCAAAGACAAUCCUCUCUGCUCUAGGAAUCAACGCCUCGGCCACAUCGCUGCUGGAACAGGGCUAUAUCCUUGUAUGUGAAUGAGGCCAGUUAUAUGUGGCUUUUAGCUUGCUUUUAAGAUCCCCAUCUGAAGGGCAAGAGAAGUUUAUGCAUAUAGCGGCCUGAGAGCUGAAUUACCUUUGUUAUUAUUAUGAGAUAUUGAUGGCUUGAAAGUAUUGCAUCUUUAUACGGAAGUUUAUUAGAUUUAUAUUUUUUGUAUAUAUUGCAAACUGCUCUAAGCUAUUUUAAGGAAAUUGAAUAGUAUUGUAACUUAUAAUCCAAUAUUAGUUUAGAGGAUUUUUGAACAAUGAUAUGUAACUUCUUUUGAUAGUAUUUAUUUUUAUGACAAAGUUAUUCCUAUGCAAUAUUGGCUAUCGUAGUGUUGGUUUGAAAUAAGCGUGUGUGUGUGUGUAUGUUUUAAUAUAUAUGUUUGCUAUUAAAGGACACAAACGAUUAA